UACAGAGGUCCCAAGCGUUGUUCGGAUUCAUUGGGCGUAAAGGGCGCGUAGGCGGCGACGUAAGUCGGGCGUGAAAUUUCGGAGCUUAACUCCGAAACUGCAUUCGAUACUGCGGUGCUUGAGGACUGGAGAGGAGACUGGAAUUCAUGGUGUAGCAGUGAAAUGCGUAGAGAUCAUGAGGAAGACCAGUGGCGAAGGCGGGUCUCUGGACAGUUCCUGACACUGAGACACGAAGGCCAGGGGAGCAAACGGG
rnacentral:rRNA from 1 species